rnacentral:rRNA from 1 species
UACGUAGGGGGCAAGCGUUGUCCGGAAUUAUUGGGCGUAAAGAGCUCGUAGGCGGUCUGUCGCGUCCGUUGUGAAAACUCGAGGCUCAACCUCGGGCUUGCAGUGGAUACGGGCAGACUAGAGUGCGGUAGGGGAGACUGGAAUUCCUGGUGUAGCGGUGGAAUGCGCAGAUAUCAGGAGGAACACCGAUGGCGAAGGCAGGUCUCUGGGCCGCAACUGACGCUGAGGAGCGAAAGCAUGGGGAGCGAACAGG